rnacentral:rRNA from 1 species
UACGAAGGGGGGUAGCGUUGUUCGGAAUUACUGGGCGUAAAGCGCACGUAGGCGGAUCAGUAAGUCAGGGGUGAAAUCCCGGGGCUCAACCUCAGAACUGCCUUUGAUACUGCUGAUCUCGAGUACGGAAGAGGUGGGUGGAAUUCCGAGUGUAGAGGUGAAAUUCGUAGAUAUUAGGAAGAGCACCAGUGGCGAAGGCGGCCAACUGGGCCGGUACUGACGCUGAGGUGCGAAAGCGUGGGGAGCAAACAGG